CGGGGCGUAGCGCAGCCUGGUAGCGCAUCUGCUUUGGGAGCAGAGGGUCGCAGGUUCAAAUCCUGCCGCCCCGA
rfam:Phenylobacterium zucineum HLK1, complete genome.